UAAGAAGUUUAUUGAUUUUGUGAGGUUAUUCUCUGUUUUUAGGAACCGGCUUUUUUAAUGUGAGUAUUUAUUUUUUAGAUUACAAGGAUCCAUUAUCUCAAUAUGAUAUCUAUUAAUCUAAUCGACCUAUAUAAUUACCAAAAAUAAAAUAAUAAAUCAUGGCCUAGUAGCUAGAAGAUUCGAAUUUUACAUCCGUAUUGCAAUAGCCUACAGCUAAAUAAUGCCAUUUUUAUUUGCCAUGAAAAAUAAUUUGGAAAUAUUUAUUAUCUAUUAUUUUUUGACUCAUAUAACUUUUUGUUGAACUCCUAAAUAACCAUAAUAUUAUUAUAUUGUAUUUUGGGCAUUCAAAUAACAAUUAUAAUGGUAAUUUCUUCUUGUUUAUUGCCGACACUGUAACUAUAAAGUGGGUAGCCUACCACUCGUAAAGUUAGAAAUGAAUUUGAUUGAAAUAAAAAUAGCAUAUUCUCAGGAUAUCCUGAUUUAUACUAAACACUCCUUGUCUUCUGCUUUUAGUGAGAUUCAAAAGAGUAGGACCUGAAGUAGGUACGUAAAGCUAUUUUUAAGCGCAAAUGUAUGUUAAUCCUAAUUCGCUAUUUUUAGUCUAAUCACAUGGCGAGAUUGUUACCGUAUCACACGUUUUCCUCUGUUUUUACAUACACUAUUUGUCUCAUAUAAUAACUUUGCAUUAUUUUAUCUUCUGUAGAAAAUAUGUAGUAAGAGACACGGUCACGCAUGGAUUUGUGAUCCUGUGAUCCAUAUCUUUGUUCAAGUUGCAUUGACUCUUUAUCAGAACAUCAAACAGCUUCCUGGAUCUGAUAUUCUUCACUCGCAUAUUCUUCCCAAAUAUCUGUCACUUCAACUUUUUCGAUAAAUACGAAUGAAUGAUGAAUGAAAUUGUUAUGUCAGUUAUUUCAUCUUAAGGUGAGUUGAGAGUUCCUGCGAGUUAUUUGCUUUACCGCAGUUCCCUGAUCAUUUACACAUUGAGCCCAGAUUGGAAAAAUCAAAUUCUGAUAAACAUUUAUGGUAAAUAAACUCCACUUAUGGACUCAUUUAUUUUACUAAAUUAGGCUGACAACGGAUUUCCUUUAUCUGCAGACUUAGCUGAACCAGCUUCGGUAGCUAAAAGGAUUGGAGACCAAUUAGUUGAAAUGUAUCAUAGAAUACUAUCAGAGCAUUUGUGAGCAAUUAAAACCACACAUAAGCUGUUGGGCGAUUGGCUGCUAACAGGGCUAACUAACUCUUAUGUAUAACUAACUCUUUUCCUCUCUGACUCGAGAGUGAAAAAGUUGAGACAGAGCUUCAAUUUAUACAGAAUAGAUGUUGAGACAAAAUUAAAUCCUAGAUCUGUUCAUAUAGAAUUUCAUGUAUAAUAUACCCAAAUCACUCUUACAUCGAUCAGGCUUAAUUUUCAAUUAAAUGAUAUCGAGUUCGGAGAAUAAGGACUGUUCUGGAUUAAUUAUUAGCCCUAUGAAUGUAAUAGUUCAUUUGAAUAGUUUGAAUUUUAAUCAAAUUCCAUACA